rnacentral:rRNA from 1 species
UAGGGAAUCUUCGGCAAUGGGGGCAACCCUGACCGAGCAACGCCGCGUGAGUGAAGAAGGUUUUCGGAUCGUAAAGCUCUGUUGUAAGAGAAGAACGUGUGUGAGAGUGGAAAGUUCACACAGUGACGGUAACUUACCAGAAAGGGACGGCUAACUACGUGCCAGCAGCCGCGGUAAUACGUAGGUCCCGAGCGUUGUCCGGAUUUAUUGGGCGUAAAGCGAGCGCCGGCGGUUUAAUAAGUCUGAAGUUAAAGGCAGUGGCUUAACCAUUGUUCGCUUUGGAAACUGUUAAACUUGAGUGCAGAAGGGGAGAGUGGAAUUCCAUGUGUAGCGGUGAAAUGCGUAGAUAUAUGGAGGAACACCGGUGGCGAAAGCGGCUCUCUGGUCUGUAACUGACGCUGAGGCUCGAAAGCGUGGGGAGCAAACAGG